rnacentral:rRNA from 1 species
UGGGUAUAAUGCGCCGUAGCAAAAGUUGGCUGGAAGGCUUCUUUUGUAAGAGGCGUUGUUGGCAUCUCAACAACGCGCGGAAGGAUGAGACUGCGGCAGAUUAUGGUUGUUGGCGGGGUAACUGCCCACCAAGCCGAGAAUCUGUACGGGCAAUGAGAGUUGGAGCCCGGAGAAGGGAACUGAGAUAAGGUCCCUAGCCCUACGGGGUGCAGCAGGCGCGAAACCUCUGCAAUGCGCGAAAGCGCGACAGGGGGACUCUGAGUGAUUGCUUUGCAAUCUUUUGCCAAACCUAGAUAGUUUGGCGAAUAAGAGGAGGGCAAGACGCGUGCCAGCCGCCGCGGUAAUACGCGCUCCUCAAGUGGUGCCCACUAAUAUUUGGCCUAAAGCGUUCGUAGCCUGCUCUGUAAGUCCUGGGUGAAAUCAGGCAGCUCAACUGUCUGAAUUGCUUGGGAUACUGCAGGGCUCGAGACAGGAAGAGGCAGGAGGUAUUUCCGGGGUAGCGGUGAAAUGCUAUGAUCCCGGAAGGACCACCAGUAGCGAAGGCGUCCUGCCAGUACUGCUCUGACGGUGAGGAACGAAAGCCGAGGGAGCGACCCGGAUUAGAUACCCGGUUAGUCUCGGCCG